ACCACCCAUGCCAGCCGGGAGUGAAGUCCCAGUCCCCCAGCAUCUGCCCUCCGGACUCUGCUCAGGAGUGAGAUGUUUGCUUUAGGGUGUUUAUGUUGUUUGCUUGUUUUUGUCUUUAUUUGGGGUGGGGUGGUAUCACACCAGUAAAGUAGAGGUCAGAGGACAACGCUAGAGAAUCAGUUCCCUCCUUCCACCUUCGCAUGGGUUCUGAGACUGGACACAUGCUGCUAACUGGUGCGGCACCAUGUGUCUUUACCCACUGAGCCAUCUUGCUGGCCCAUUCUAGCAAUCCAGCCUUGCCUCCCAUCAGGCAGAAAGACUUGGACUCAAGUAGUCAGUGUGUGUUCAUCAUCCGUUUAGCUGUGAGCUUCGAGUAUGCAGUAAGUAAAGACGAACCCUGAGAGGUUGUGAUUCUCGCUGUUCCCUGAAUGUGACUGAUUUCUGACCUUUCACUGAUCUGCCUGAUGGUACACGGUGAAAGAAUACAUACUAAACACCAUAAUAAAGUUGCCUUGGAGAUUAA
rnacentral:lncRNA from 1 species